GACGAACGCUGGCGGCGUGCUUAACACAUGCAAGUCGAACGCUGAAGCUCAGCUUUUGUUGGGUGGAUGAGUGGCGAACGGGUGAGUAACACGUGAGUAACCUGCCCCCUUCUUUGGGAUAACGCCCGGAAACGGGUGCUAAUACUGGAUAUUCACUGGUCUUCGCAUGGGGGUUGGUGGAAAGGGUUUUUCUGGUUGGGGAUGGGCUCGCGGCGCAUCAGCUUGUUGGUGGGGUGAUGGCCGACCAAGGCUUUGACGGGUCGCCGGCCUGAGAGGGUGCCCGGUCACAUUGGGACUGAGAUACGGCCCAGACUCCUACGGGAGGCAGGAGUGGGGAAUAUUGCACAAUGGGCGCAAGCCUGAUGCAGCGACGCCGCGGGAGGGAUGGAGGCCUUCGGGUUGUGAACCUCUUUCGCUCAUGGUCAAGCCGCAACAAUGGUUGUGGUGAGGGUAGUGGGUAAAGAAGCGCCGGCUAACUACGUG
rnacentral:rRNA from 1 species